rnacentral:rRNA from 1 species
UACGUAGGGUGCGAGCGUUGUCCGGAAUUAUUGGGCGUAAAGAGCUUGUAGGUGGCUCGUUGCGUCGGGAGUGAAAACCUGCGGCUUAACCGCAGGCCUGCUUCCGAUACGGGCGAGCUAGAGUUCGGCAGGGGAGACUGGAAUUCCUGGUGUAGCGGUGGAAUGCGCAGAUAUCAGGAGGAACACCGGUGGCGAAGGCGGGUCUCUGGGCCGAUACUGACGCUGAGGCGCGAAAGCUCGGGGAGCGAACGGG